rnacentral:rRNA from 1 species
UAGAGUUUGAUCCUGGCUCAGAUUGAACGCUGGCGGCAGGCUUAACACAUGCAAGUCGAGCGGGGAAGGGUAGCUUGCUACCUGACCUAGCGGCGGACGGGUGAGUAAUGCUUAGGAAUCUGCCUAUUAGAGGGGGACAACAUUCCGAAAGGAAUGCUAAUACCGCAUACGCCCUACGGGGGAAAGCAGGGGAUCUUCGGACCUUGCGCUAAUAGAUGAGCCUAAGUCAGAUUAGCUAGUUGGUGGGGUAAAGGCCUACCAAGGCGACGAUCUGUAGCGGGUCUGAGAGGAUGAUCCGCCACACUGGGACUGAGACACGGCCCAGACUCCUACGGGAGGCAGCAGUGGGGAAUAUUGGACAAUGGGCGAAAGCCUGAUCCAGCCAUGCCGCGUGUGUGAAGAAGGCCUUUUGGUUGUAAAGCACUUUAAGCGAGGAGGAGGCUACUUAGAUUAAUACUCUAGGAUAGUGGACGUUACUCGCAGAAUAAGCACCGGCUAACUCUGUGCCAGCAGCCGCGGUAAUACAGAGGGUGCGAGCGUUAAUCGGAUUUACUGGGCGUAAAGCGUGCGUAGGCGGCUUCUUAAGUCGGAUGUGAAAUCCCUGAGCUUAACUUAGGAAUUGCAUUCGAUACUGGGAAGCUAGAGUAUGGGAGAGGAUGGUAGAAUUCCAGGUGUAGCGGUGAAAUGCGUAGAGACCUGGAGGAAUACCGAUGGCGAAGGCAGCCAUCUGGCCUAAUACUGACGCUGAGGUACGAAAGCAUGGGGAGCAAACAGGAUUAGAUACCCUGGUAGUCCAUGCCGUAAACGAUGUCUACUAGCCGUUGGGGCCUUUGAGGCUUUAGUGGCGCAGCUAACGCGAUAAGUAGACCGCCUGGGGAGUACGGUCGCAAGACUAAAACUCAAAUGAAUUGACGGGGGCCCGCACAAGCGGUGGUGAUACUGACCUUAGUCAAAG